rnacentral:rRNA from 1 species
AUGAACGCUAGCUACAGGCUUAACACAUGCAAGUCGAGGGGCAGCAUGAACUUAGCUUGCUAAGUUUGAUGGCGACCGGCGCACGGGUGAGUAACACGUAUCCAACCUGCCGAUGACUCGGGGAUAGCCUUUCGAAAGAAAGAUUAAUACCCGAUGGCAUAGUUCUUCCGCAUGGUAGAACUAUUAAAGAAUUUCGGUCAUCGAUGGGGAUGCGUUCCAUUAGGUUGUUGGCGGGGUAACGGCCCACCAAGCCUUCGAUGGAUAGGGGUUCUGAGAGGAAGGUCCCCCACAUUGGAACUGAGACACGGUCCAAACUCCUACGGGAGGCAGCAGUGAGGAAUAUUGGUCAAUGGACGAGAGUCUGAACCAGCCAAGUAGCGUGAAGGAUGACUGCCCUAUGGGUUGUAAACUUCUUUUAUACGGGAAUAAAGUGAGGCACGUGUGCCUUUUUGUAUGUACCGUAUGAAUAAGGAUCGGCUAACUCCGUGCCAGCAGCCGCGGUAAUACGGAGGAUCCGAGCGUUAUCCGGAUUUAUUGGGUUUAAAGGGAGCGUAGGCGGACGCUUAAGUCAGUUGUGAAAGUUUGCGGCUCAACCGUAAAAUUGCAGUUGAUACUGGGUGUCUUGAGUACAGUAGAGGCAGGCGGAAUUCGUGGUGUAGCGGUGAAAUGCUUAGAUAUCACGAAGAACUCCGAUUGCGAAGGCAGCCUGCUGGACUGUAACUGACGCUGAUGCUCGAAAGUGUGGGUAUCAAACAGGAUUAGAUACCCUGGUAGUCCACACAGUAAACGAUGAAUACUCGCUGUUUGCGAUAUACAGUAAGCGGCCAAGCGAAAGCGUUAAGUAUUCCACCUGGGGAGUACGCCGGCAACGGUGAAACUCAAAGGAAUUGACGGGGGCCCGCACAAGCGGUGGAGCAUGUGGUUUAAUUCGAAGCAACGCGAAGAACCUUACCAGGUCUUGACAUCGAUCUAAAGGCUCCAGAGAUGGAGAGAUAGCUAUAGAGAAGACAGGUGGUGCAUGGUUGUCGUCAGCUCGUGCCGUGAGGUGUCGGCUUAAGUGCCAUAACGAGCGCAACCCUUAUCGAUAGUUACCAUCAGGUGAUGCUGGGGACUCUGUCGAGACUGCCGUCGUAAGAUGUGAGGAAGGUGGGGAUGACGUCAAAUCAGCACGGCCCUUACGUCCGGGGCUACACACGUGUUACAAUGGGGGGUACAGAAGGCAGCUACACGGUGACGUGAUGCUAAUCCCUAAAGCCUCUCUCAGUUCGGAUUGGAGUCUGCAACCCGACUCCAUGAAGCUGGAUUCGCUAGUAAUCGCGCAUCAGCCACGGCGCGGUGAAUACGUUCCCGGGCCUUGUACACACCGCCCGUCAAGCCAUGAAAGCCGGGGGUACCUGAAGUGCGUAACCGCAAGGAGCGCCCUAGGGUAAAACUGGUGAUUGGGGCU